rnacentral:lncRNA from 1 species
ACACAAAAGGCCAAAGGUGCACGAUUCUCCUCGGGGCUCCUUCCUCUCCGCUCCCUUCCCAACCAAGAAGGACACGCAGAACUUUGCUGGAGAGAUCAAUGUUUCUAGAACACCCUGAAACAAAAGUCCUGAUAUGUGCAAAUAAUACACACCCACAAAAGAAAAUAACCUCUUUGCGCUGACACCCUGCCUCUCCGAAGAGGACGUUUUCUCCCUACUUGGAAUUUCCAUCAGCACCUGGGUUGGUACCAAACUCAGGACGUGGUGGACACGCUCUCUGACUCUGUAUUUCAGGAAGCUGCCAAUCAAUAGAGAUUUAAAGCUUCUGACUUCCGCAUAUCCGAAUACCAGGUAGGAAACAUCUGCUUUGGAGUAAGAGAAGGCCCCAGUACCUGCUUUUUCUCCGGAACCGUGAGAGGGAGCCAUGGGGAGGAGACCAGAAUUUCAGCCUUCCUAUCUCCCUUUACCACAAGGACGCCUUGAGGACCCAAGUCAAAUUGAGAUCUUUCAACCACGGGCUCGGAAACCCGCUUUCUGUGUCCACUUCAACCAAACACGUCUAACAGGCAGGAAUUUAGAGGUGGCCAAGGUAACGAGAACUAGUGGUUUUCACCCUGUUUGGUGACCUUCAUAGGGCUUAUUUAUGCACUUCAAGCGCAUGACCUAAUACAUGUUGGUUUGGCUUCUCUUCUCGUAAUAGCAGCCUGUAAAAAGCUUUUGAGAAUUCCCCGUGUUUUCUCAUUUUGGGUCAAGAAAAUAAAAUCGAUAUCUAAGUAACCUUAAAAAAAUGGCCUGCACAAUCUAAAAAUUUGGAAUGUUUCCACUAGGACUAAGGAUAUCUCUGAAAGCCUCAAAGAUCAUCAAAAUGAAGUCCAACAUUUGCUGUUUUUAAGAUGUUUAAAUUGGCAUUGCGGCGCGUCUAAGUUCCUGUUUUAGAUUUCUGCAUAUAUCUGAAGGCAGAGGCAGACUUUUCAAAAAUGCACGAGCAGGCACAACUGUGUUCUGACUACUAUCAUCCAAAGGCGAUGACAGCGCUGACGAAGCCCCUGGAUCCUGCCAAAGUUUGUCCCAAAGACGAGUCUCUCAGCCCCCACUGACCCGCAGCCUGCUGGUUCCAGAUUCAGGCAACCAGUGGCCUCCCUUAACGUUCAAAGAGGCAAAGAUAAAUCAUUCCAGCUACCUGACUCUCGGCACCACCUGUUCCAAAUUAUUCUUUGCUCUCCAAAUGUUUAAAAUCUAACCCGAAACAACACCCACCCAUAGCGAUCCAGCACCUUCCGGUAAACUUGACUUGGGCUGCGCCUACCGUAAUGUUUUAGGGCCUCUCCACUGCCGGUAAAUUUAUUGACUCUUUUUAGGACCUGAAAUGCGUAGUGUUAGUAUCGAAGGAAUAAAUCAAAUUAGCCCUUAAAUAAA